GAUGAACGCUGGCGGCGUGCUUAACACAUGCAAGUCGAACGGUGAAGCUCCAGCUUGCUGGAGUGGAUCAGUGGCGAACGGGUGAGUAACACGUGAGCAACCUGCCCCUGACUCUGGGAUAACAGCCGGAAACGGCUGCUAAUACCGGAUAUGCACCAUGAACGCAUGUUCUGUGGUGGGAAAGAUUUUUCGGUUGGGGAUGGGCUCGCGGCCUAUCAGCUUGUUGGUGAGGUAAUGGCUCACCAAGGCGUCGACGGGUAGCCGGCCUGAGAGGGUGACCGGCCACACUGGGACUGAGACACGGCCCAGACUCCUACGGGAGGCAGCAGUGGGGAAUAUUGCACAAUGGGCGAAAGCCUGAUGCAGCAACGCCGCGUGAGGGAUGACGGCCUUCGGGUUGUAAACCUCUUUUAGCAGGGAAGGAGCGAGAGUGACGGUACCUGCAGAAAAAGCGCCGGCUAACUACGUG
rnacentral:rRNA from 1 species